rnacentral:rRNA from 1 species
CCCUUAGAUGUUCUGGGCCGCACGCGCGCUACACUGACUGCUCCAACAAGUUACCUGGGCUGACAAGCAUCCGGGAAAUCUUGCAAAGGCAGUCGUGAUGGGGAUAGAUUCUUGUAAUUUUUGAUCUUCAACGAGGAAUUCCUAGUAAACGCAAGUCAUCAGCUUGCAUUGAUUACGUCCCUGCCCUUUGUACACACCGCCCGUCGCAUCUACCGAUUGAAUGGAGAGGCAAAAUCUUCGGACCGUGACGCUUGGGAGUCAAAUCUCGGGCUGUCGUGGGAAGUGGAUUAAACCUUUCUAUUUAGAGGAAGGUAAAGUCGUAACA